rnacentral:sRNA from 1 species
CGGCCGCCGAGGCCGGCUAAACGCAGAAUGGGGAAGAAUCCUGUGCGUCCUCCACGAGCUCUUCCACCUGUGCCAAGUCAAGAUGAUAUUCCACUUAGUCGUCCUAAGAAAAAGAAGCCCAGAACAAAAAACACACCAGGUAAGACGUUAUUCUUUGUUGUGUGGGAUCACAAGUUUUCCCAGGACCUCAGGCGUAGUAAACAUCACAGAUAAGGGAGAAUUAAGGCCCCAGCAGCCCCGAAUCUCCACUUCAUUGAGGAUAGAAUUAAGGCCAGUUUGAAGCAGUGGAAUUCCUGGUGGUGGUGAGGUACAGGGCAGUGGGCAGCCUGAGGAGUAUCUGGACGCAUUCAUGGAAUAGAAGGUGGUGCCAUCUAAGCUCCUAUUUCCAUGAUAUUCCUGGACUCUUUAAGGUCUUUUAUCCCCAGACAACAUACAUGGUUUUAAGCUAUGAUUGAUUCCAGACCCUUGAACAUGAAUUUAGAAACACAGAGUUCUUAAAUCUCACUUCAGUCAGAAUAUCUCUACAUUACAGCAUGAGUCUGAAGGCAUGGCCACAUCAUCAUUUAAAUAGUAAAGCUUCAGUCAUGAGCAGAACUCGUUUUUGUCUUAGUCAUCCACUAAUAAUCCUGGAAGUUGCAUCCGUAACUCUAAACUCAGCACAUCUAGAAUCC